AUUGAACGCUGGCGGCAGGCCUAACACAUGCAAGUCGAACGAGUGGCGGACGGGUGAGUAAUGUCUGUGAAACUGCCUGCUGGAGGGGGAUAACUACUGGAAACGUUAGCUAAUACCGCAUACCAUCGGAUGUGCCCAGAUGGGAUUAGCUAGUAGGUGGGGUAACGACUCACCUAGGCGACGAUCCCUAGCUGGUCUGAGAGGAUGACCAUCCACACUGGACCUGAGACACGGGCCAGACUCCUACGGGAGGCAGCAGUGUGGAAUAUUGCACAAUGGGCGCAAGCCUGAUGCAGCCAUGCCGCGUGUAUGAAGAAGGCCUUCGGGUUGUAAAGUACUUUCAGCGGGGAGGAGUUACCCGAAGAAGAAGCACAGGCUAACUCCGUGCCAGCAGCCGCGGUAAUUC
rnacentral:rRNA from 1 species